AAAAUCUCCAUUCUUUGCCUUCCCUUCUCACACCUUCAUUUCCACAUCUACACAUAGCACAACUUUGUAAUUCACACAUACAGAGCACAUUAUAACCCAACAUCAACAACUGCCUCACAGUACACCCACCUCUUCUCCUUUUACAACUCCACAUUCAUCUUUGCAACUAGCCCACAUCACCACAGCACACAGAGAGCACAAAGA
rnacentral:misc_RNA from 1 species